rnacentral:tRNA from 1 species
GAGGGUACAGCUCAGUGGUAGAGCACAUGCUUAGCAUGCAUGAGGUCCUGGGUUCAAUCUCCAGUACCUCCA